CAGGCCUAACACAUGCAAGUCGAACGAGAUCUUCGGGUCUAGUGGCGCACGGGUGCGUAACGCGUGGGAAUCUGCCCUUGGGUUCGGAAUAACAGCGAGAAAUUGCUGCUAAUACCGGAUAAUGACGUAAGUCCAAAGAUUUAUCGCCCAGGGAUGAGCCCGCGUAGGAUUAGCUAGUUGGUGGGGUAAAGGCCUACCAAGGCGACGAUCCUUAGCUGGUCUGAGAGGAUGAUCAGCCACACUGGGACUGAGACACGGCCCAGACUCCUACGGGAGGCAGCAGUGGGGAAUAUUGGACAAUGGGCGAAAGCCUGAUCCAGCAAUGCCGCGUGAGUGAUGAAGGCCUUAGGGUUGUAAAGCUCUUUUACCCGGGAUGAUAAUGACAGUACCGGGAGAAUAAGCUCCGGCUAACUCCGUGCCAGCAGCCGCGGUAAU
rnacentral:rRNA from 1 species